GACGAACGCUGGCGGCGUGCUUAACACAUGCCAGUCGUACGGUAAGGCCCUUUCGGGGGUACACGAGUGGCGAACGGGUGAGUAACACGUGAGUAACCUGCCCACAACUUUGGGAUAACGCUAGGAAACUGGUGCUAAUACUGGAUAUGUGCUCCUGCUGCAUGGUGGGGGUUGGAAAGCUCCGGCGGUUGUGGAUGGACUCGCGGCCUAUCAGCUUGUUGGUGGGGUAGUGGCCUACCAAGGCGGCGACGGGUAGCCGGCCUGAGAGGGUGACCGGCCACAGUGGGACUGAGAUACGGCCCAGACUCCUACGGGAGGCAGCAGUGGGGAAUAUUGCACAAUGGGCGCAAGCCUGAUGCAGCAACGCCGCGGGCGGGAGGACGGCCUUCGGGUUGUAAACCGCUUUCAGCAGGGACGAAGCUUUUUGUGACGGUACCUGCAGAAGAAGCACCGGCUAACUACGUG
rnacentral:rRNA from 1 species